rnacentral:ncRNA from 1 species
UGAUAGCGAUGAAGCGUGAGGUUGCUGAUGCCCCCGGCAUCAGGUUUUCCGUGGAGCGAAUGUCAAGUUACCAAAACUGGCGACAA